rnacentral:tRNA from 1 species
GGGGUAAGGACUUAGUCCACCCUAGCUUCUAACUAGGGAGAGGUAGUAAACUCUAUCACCCCUU